GCCUCUGAGCUCAGUUGGUGGAGCAUGAGACUCCUGAUCUCAGGGUUGUGGGUUCGAGCCCCACGUUGGGCA
rnacentral:tRNA from 1 species